GCACACGCGCUCCAACACCCCUCGCCCUCUCUCUCUCUCUCUCCUCACUCCUCCCUCGCGCUCCGCUCCGCUCCCCCACACCCCUCUUCACACCAAAUUUCCUCUUCCGCCUGGCUGGCUCUCGGCUGCGCGGCUGCGCCUCCCUCUCCCCGCCCCGCGCCCAUAUAAUCCGGGCCGGCCGGCUGGGUCCCCGCGCGGAUGGGCUCGCUCUCGCGGGGCUAGGGUUUGGUCGGUCGGUCGGUCGGUCGGCUGGUCGGCGUCGGGGGACGCCGGCGCUGCUCCGCUCGCCCGCGCGCGCUAGGGUUCGAUUCCCACCCCGGGGCGCCAUGGUGCUGCAGCGCUUCUCGUGGCCGCACGGCGGCCGGCACGCCUCCUUCUGCGGCAGCUUCACCGGGUGGAGGGAGUACCCCAUGGCGCUGGUCGGGAGCGAGUUCCAGGUCGUCUUCGAUCUGCCCCCCGGGGUUUACCAGUACCGAUUUUUGGUUGAUGGUGUCUGGAGGUGCGAUGAUACAAAACCCUUUGUACGUGAUGAAUAUGGACUAAUCAGCAAUGAAGUGCUUGUGGAAAACAAUGCACAACCUGUUGUGCAGCCAGAGCCGCCUUCUACCAGAGGAAUUAAUAUGGAUGAGGGUACCAUUUUUACAACAAUGCCUCCGGAGCCUUCAUCACAAAACCCAGGCAUGCAAAUAGCAGUUUUCCGCCAUGGGAUCUCUGGAAUAUUAUUACAUAAUACCAUAUAUGAUGUUGUUCCUCUUUCUAGCAAGUUAGCAAUUUUGGACGCUCAGCUUCCUGUUAAACAAGCAUUCAAAAUAAUGCAUGACGAGGGCCUUGCUUUGGUUCCUCUCUGGGAUGACCAUCAGGGAACCGUAACAGGCAUGCUCACUGCAUCGGAUUUUGUAUUGAUGUUGAGAAAGUUGCAGAGAAACAUAAGGGCUCUUGGUAAUGAAGAGCUUGAAAUGCAUCCCAUUUCUGCUUGGAAAGAAGCAAAACUGCAAUUUUAUGGCGGGCCUGAUGGUGCUGCCAUACAGAGAAGGCCAUUAAUUCAUGUUAAGGAUUCAGAUAAUUUAGUGGAUGUGGCACUGACUAUAAUCAGAAAUGAAAUAUCUUCAGUUCCUAUCUUUAAGUCCUUGCCAGAUUCAUCAGGGAUGCCUUUGCUUAAUCUUGCAACCCUUCAGGGGAUUUUGAAAUUUCUUUGCUCGAAGCUACAAGAACAGGCAGAAGGUUAUUCUCUUCUGCACAAUCAGCUUGUCAAUAUUCCUAUUGGUACAUGGUCUCCACAUACAGGGAGAACAAGUAACAGACAGCUCAGAACUUUGCGGCUGAGUUCUCCUCUAAAUUCCUGCCUGGAUCUGCUGCUUCAAGAUAGAGUAAGCUCAAUUCCUAUAGUUGAUGACAAUGGAUCCCUCCGUGAUGUUUACUCACUCAGUGAUAUCAUGGCUCUGGCGAAGAAUGAUGUCUACGCUCGCAUUGAACUUGAACAAGUGACUGUGCAAAAUGCAUUGGAUGUGCAAUACCAAGUUCAGGGCCGAAGACAGUGCCAUACAUGUUUGCAGACAAGUACCUUGCUUGAAGUCUUGGAGGAAUUGUCUAUUCCAGGGGUGCGGCGGGUGGUUGUUAUUGAACAAAGUACCAGAUUUGUGGAAGGAAUCAUCUCAUUGAGGGACAUAUUUACAUUUCUCCUUGGAUAGGAUCUGUGUAGUCAUUUCAUACAUGAAAGCUUCUUGUACCUGAUUUGGACAAAAUAAAAAGCAUUUUGCAACGUACAAGGAAUGCGUGGUUAUCUUUUGAGAGGUCACAAGACUUAUCUCUGGCUGUUCUUUUUUAAACAUAUAAAGCUUUCGUUUAUUGUUCUUCCAGUAAAGAAAUAGAGGCCAUGGGACCAUCUCUUGAAGUUUUCUGUGGAUCGUCCGAGACCCAGCACCUUACUAUAUAAAAACUUAUUUAAAAGAA